CCCUAAUAGAUGCUCUCUAUGAAUAGAGAGAGUGCCUAUUUACUCUGAAAUACUUGGCACAGCGAGUGGAGUCUGAAGCAUGGAAGAAGUGGCUAUUAUUUUCCCACUGCCUGUGUGCAGCUGUCAUUUCUGAGCAACACGUUCCUCGCACAUCCCUGCUUCCAACCUUGCUGACGGUCUGUCCCAGGAUUACAACAAGAAGAGAAUGGCAUGCCACCUCACUCAGCCAAAACCUUAACACUGUGUUUGCCACAGAUCUGGUCUCAGAAGCACUGUAGGAGCAGCAUUUGCUACUUCUGUGAGGAGGCUGGCUGUGUCCUGGGUUUUUCUGGGGAAGCGUAGAGCCCUUCCAUGGCUCGCAAAGCUAUGUAAGUUGAAGUGUGGAAGGAAGCUGUAGAAGCAAAUAGCUGGAAUGUGCUACAAGUGUGUGACGAGGCCAGGGCCACUGAACAAUGAGGCAGGAGCAGUGGAUGGAAACUGGUAUACUCAGUCCAUUAAAUGAAAAAUCUGCCAAAUCAGACCUGUGACUCCAUUUCUCAUUUUACUUGCUUUCUGUCUCUCAUUAAAAUGUACAGCUUUGGGGUAGGUAGGAACUUUUAGGGGACUGGCUCAGGAAAGGAGAACUGCAUAUAUGGUUUGGUUGAAGUAAAACCCUUUAAGCCUAAUGAACUGGUUCAUUAAACUAUUACAAUAAUUGUGUUUUAGAUGUAGCUUAGUUUUAAGCCUGGGCAUGAAAUAAUUAUUUUCUAAAAAUCAGGAUUGUUUGUGAAUCUUUCUUUUCCUGCUGUGGUUCUUGCUGAGUUUUGUCCAGGAUGUCUCUGGAAGAGUGAGCUCCAGAUAUAUCACAAGACAGCCUGUGUUGUGUGGCAGCUGUAUAUUUAAGAAGAAAAUGCUGGAGGAGAUGGCUAAAUGUGCACACAGACUUCUGGGUGUUCAUCAGCACUGAUUCCAAACAUCCUGUUGGGUUUCUGAUCACUGAUUAGUAGUAUAAAUAAGAUUGAUACCUUUAACCACUAAAAAUUAUCCCUCUUCCACUCUCACAGCCUCUCUAGACUGGAAUUUUUUAAGCUGCCAGAUGCAGUUUUGUUUCCAG
rnacentral:lncRNA from 1 species